AAGAUUAAGCCAUGCAUGUCUAAGUAUAAGCAUUUAUACAGUGAAACUGCGAAUGGCUCAUUAAAUCAGUUAUCGUUUAUUUGAUAGUACAUUACUACUUGGAUAACCGUGGUAAUUCUAGAGCUAAUACAUGCUAAAAGUCCUGGCCUCCGGUCAAGAUGUAUUUAUUAGAUAAAAACCAAUGUCUUCGGACUCGUUGGUGAUUCAUAAUAACUUGUCGAAUCGCAU
rnacentral:rRNA from 1 species